GACGAACGCUGGCGGCGUGCCUAAUACAUGCAAGUCGAACGCAUUUUCUUUCACCGUAGCUUGCUACACCGAAAGAAAAUGAGUGGCGAACGGGUGAGUAACACGUGGGUAACCUGCCCAUCAGCGGGGGAUAACACUUGGAAACAGGUGCUAAUACCGCAUAAUUCCAUUUACCGCAUGGUAAAUGGAUGAAAGGCGCUUUUGCGUCACUGAUGGAUGGACCCGCGGUGCAUUAGCUAGUUGGUGGGGUAACGGCCUACCAAGGCUGCGAUGCAUAGCCGACCUGAGAGGGUGAUCGGCCACACUGGGACUGAGACACGGCCCAGACUCCUACGGGAGGCAGCAGUGGGGAAUCUUCGGCAAUGGACGCAAGUCUGACCGAGCAACGCCGCGUGAGUGAAGAAGGUUUUCGGAUCGUAAAACUCUGUUGUUAGAGAAGAACAAGGAUGAGAGUGGAAAGUUCAUCCCUUGACGGUAUCUAACCAGAAAGCCACGGCUAACUACGUG
rnacentral:rRNA from 1 species